AAAUUGAAGAGUUUGAUCAUGGCUCAGAUUGAACGCUGGCGGCAGGCCUAACACAUGCAAGUCGAACGGUAACAGGAAUCAGCUUGCUGAUUCGCUGACGAGUGGCGGACGGGUGAGUAAUGUCUGGGAAACUGCCUGAUGGAGGGGGAUAACUACUGGAAACGGUAGCUAAUACCGCAUAAUGUCGCAAGACCAAAGAGGGGGACCU
rnacentral:rRNA from 1 species